UAUUUUAAAGAUUUAUCAAACACUUUGAUUUACCUUUUUUGAUGCCUAUCAUCUGUCCUUGAAGAACAGAAGUAAGAUGCAGCACAAAGUGCUUGUCAACAAAUUAUACAUAUCAUGCAUUAACACAGAACUGUCGAGAAAUUUGAAAGAAGCGAUACAAGUCUACAGAGGUCAUAACAUCAAACUCUUUGAAACCGCAGAAACACAAAGCAAUGUCAAUCAGUUAUGUUUUGCAGCAAACAGUUAUCUUGAUCUAUUUUGCUUUCACAAGGUCAGCUCUAGGCCUCCAGAGCCCCAGCCUAUAUUUAUGGGCAUGGUUCAAUAUCAGCUUCCUGUGCUGGCAGGGAAUGCCUAUCUUCUUGAGCUUCAAGGUUCGAGUAACAAGAAGUUUCUGUAAGUCACCAAUCUCAGAUUCAAGCUUGGCUGCAUGGGCUUCAACUCCUUUACCUAUUCCAUUUAGAAACUCUGGAAUUCCAACUUUCACGAUGUAAGCUGGGCAUUUGGAGAAGAAUCUAGAGAACCCAGGUAUUGAAUUUUCAUGUGGUAUAGAAAAUGCCCUUGUGUUGUUGAUCAUUCGCCUCCAUGCCAUCUUGGAAUCUCUCUCUGUGUACGAUCAAAGACACAGACCAAUACACCCCCCUUCGGC
rnacentral:misc_RNA from 1 species